UGCUAGUCGCGUGCCUCAGCCAAAACGAGGCACGGCGCACAGCUCAGUAGCACGUGGCUAAUCUGCCCUUAGGACGAGAAUACCCCCGGGAAACUGGGGCUAAUUCGCGAUAGGCGAAGAACACUGGAAUGUGUCUUCACCUAAAAGACCCUACGUUAUGCUCGUAGAAGUCGCCUAAGGAUGAGGCCGCGACCGAUCAGGUUGUUGGUGAGGUAAUGGCUCACCAAGCCUUUUACCGGUGCGGGCCGUGAGAGCGGGAGCCCGGAGAUGGGUACUGAGACAAGGACCCAGGCCCUACGGGGCGCAGCAGUCGCGAAACCUUUGCAAUACACGAAAGUGUGACAGGGCUAUCCCGAGUGCCAUCCGCUGAGGAAGGCUUUUACCCAGUCUAGAAAGCUGGGGGAAUAAGGAGAGGGCAAGUCUGGUGUCAGCCGCCGCGGUAAUACCAGCUCUUCGAGUGGUGUGGAUGUUUAUUGGGCCUAAAGCAUCCGUAGCUGGCUAGGUAAGUCCCUUGUAAAAUCCACCGAAUUAAUCGUUGGAUCGCGGGGGAUACUGCUUGGCUAGGGGACGAGAGAGGCAGACGGUAUUUUCGGGGUAGGGGUGAAAUCCUAUAAUCCCGGGAAGACCACCAGUGGCGAAGGCUGUCUGCUAGAACGCGCCCGACGGUGAGGGAUGAAAGCUGGGGGAGCGAACCGGAUUAGAUACCCGGGUAGUCCCAGCUGUAAACGAUGCAGACUAGGUGUUUGAACGGCCACGUGCCGUUCUAGUGCCGCAGGGAAAGCUGUUAAGUCUGCCGCCUGGGGAGUACGAUCGCAAGAUUGAAACUUAA
rnacentral:rRNA from 1 species